rnacentral:rRNA from 1 species
GUAGUUUGCCGGAGCUUCCUCGAUAGGUACCGUCAUUAUCGUUCCUAUCAACAGAAGUUUACAACCCGAAGGCCUUCUUCCUUCACGCGGCGUUGCUGGGUCAGGGUUUCCCCCAUUGCCCAAUAUUCCUCCCUGCUGCCUCCCGUAGGAGUCUGGACCGUUUCUCAGUUCCAGUGUGUCCGUUCAGCCUCUCAGCCCGGAUACCUAUCUCAGUCUUGGUGAGCCGUUACCUCACCAACUAACUAAUAGGACGCGAACUCCUCUCAUACCGGAUUGCUCCUUUGACCCCUUUGCCAUGUGGCCUUGUGGUCUUAUGCGGUAUUAGCACAAGUUUCCCUGUGUUAUCCCCCUGUAUGAGGCAGAUUGUUCACGCGUUACUCACCCGUCCGCUACUUAAUGUUUCAACGACCGAAGUCAUUUCCGCACACGUUCAACUUGCAUGGGUUAGGCACGCCGCCAGCGUUCGUCCUGAGCCAUAAUCAAACUCUGA